rnacentral:rRNA from 1 species
CAGCAGCCGCGGUAAUACAAAGGGUGCAAGCGUUAAUCGGAAUUACUGGGCGUAAAGCGUGCGUAGGUGGUGGUUUAAGUCCGUUGUGAAAGCCCUGGGCUCAACCUGGGAAUCGCAGUGGAUACUGGAUCACUAGAGUGUGGUAGAGGAUAGCGGAAUUUCCGGUGUAGCAGUGAAAUGCGUAGAGAUCGGAAGGAACAUCUGUGGCGAAGGCGACUAUCUGGGCCAACACUGACACUGAGGCACGAAAGCGUGGGGAGCAAACAGGAUUAGAUACCCGUGUAGUCCCUGUCUCUUAUAC